UGGGGAAUAUUGCACAAUGGGCGCAAGCCUGAUGCAGCCAUGCCGCGUGUAUGAAGAAGGCCUUCGGGUUGUAAAGUACUUUCAGCGGGGAGGAAGGGAGUAAAGUUAAUACCUUUGCUCAUUGACGUUACCCGCAGAAGAAGCACCGGCUAACUCCGUGCCAGCAGCCGCGGUAAUACGGAGGGUGCAAGCGUUAAUCGGAAUUACUGGGCGUAAAGCGCACGCAGGCGGUUUGUUAAGUCAGAUGUGAAAUCCCCGGGCUCAACCUGGGAAAUGCAUCUGAUACUGGCAAGCUUGAGUCUCGGAGAGGGGGGUAGGAUUCCAGGUGUAGCGGUGAAAUGCGUAGAGAUCUGGAGGAAUACCGGUGGCGAAGGCGGCCCCCUGGACGAAGACAGACGCUCAGGUGCGAAAGCGUGGGGAGCAAACAGG
rnacentral:rRNA from 1 species